AGCUUUUUGAAUAUGUGCUGAGGUUUCGUCCGAUACCAGCCCAUCAGGGUUGAUCAGACUUCCAAAAUAAGUGAAGUU
rnacentral:pre_miRNA from 1 species